GAUGAACGCUGGCGGCGUGCCUAAUACAUGCAAGUCGAGCGAACGGACGAGAAGCUUGCUUCUCUGAUGUUAGCGGCGGACGGGUGAGUAACACGUGGAUAACCUACCUAUAAGACUGGGAUAACUUCGGGAAACCGGAGCUAAUACCGGAUAAUAUUUUGAACCGCAUGGUUCAAAAGUGAAAGACGGUCUUGCUGUCACUUAUAGAUGGAUCCGCGCUGCAUUAGCUAGUUGGUAAGGUAACGGCUUACCAAGGCAACGAUGCAUAGCCGACCUGAGAGGGUGAUCGGCCACACUGGAACUGAGACACGGUCCAGACUCCUACGGGAGGCAGCAGUAGGGAAUCUUCCGCAAUGGGCGAAAGCCUGACGGAGCAACGCCGCGUGAGUGAUGAAGGUCUUCGGAUCGUANAACUCUGUUAUUAGGGAAGAACAUAUGUGUAAGUAACUGUGCACAUCUUGACGGUACCUAAUCAGAAAGCCACGGCUAACUACGUGCCAGCAGCCGCGGUAAUACGUAGGUGGCAAGCGUUAUCCGGAAUUAUUGGGCGUAAAGCGCGCGUAGGCGGUUUUUUAGUCUGAUGUGAAAGCCCACGGCUCAACCGUGGAGGGUCAUUGGAAACUGGAAAACUUGAGUGCAGAAGAGGAAAGUGGAAUUCCAUGUGUAGCGGUGAAAUGCGCAGAGAUAUGGAGGAACACCAGUGGCGAAGGCGACUUUCUGGUCUGUAACUGACGCUGAUGUGCGAAAGCGUGGGGAUCAAACAGGAUUAGAUACCCUGGUAGUCCACGCCGUAAACGAUGAGUGCUAAGUGUUAGGGGGUUUCCGCCCCUUAGUGCUGCAGCUAACGCAUUAAGCACUCCGCCUGGGGAGUACGACCGCAAGGUUGAAACUCAAAGGAAUUGACGGGGACCCGCACAAGCGGUGGAGCAUGUGGUUUAAUUCGAAGCAACGCGAAGAACCUUACCAAAUCUUGACAUCCUUUGACAACUCUAGAGAUAGAGCCUUCCCCUUCGGGGGACAAAGUGACAGGUGGUGCAUGGUUGUCGUCAGCUCGUGUCGUGAGAUGUUGGGUUAAGUCCCGCAACGAGCGCAACCCUUAAGCUUAGUUGCCAUCAUUAAGUUGGGCACUCUAAGUUGACUGCCGGUGACAAACCGGAGGAAGGUGGGGAUGACGUCAAAUCAUCAUGCCCCUUAUGAUUUGGGCUACACACGUGCUACAAUGGACAAUACAAAGGGCAGCGAAACCGCGAGGUCAAGCAAAUCCCAUAAAGUUGUUCUCAGUUCGGAUUGUAGUCUGCAACUCGACUACAUGAAGCUGGAAUCGCUAGUAAUCGUAGAUCAGCAUGCUACGGUGAAUACGUUCCCGGGUCU
rnacentral:rRNA from 1 species